rnacentral:rRNA from 1 species
GUGCGGAACACGUGAGCAACCUGCCCGUGACUGGGGGAUAAGCGCUGGAAACGGCGUCUAAUACCGCGUAACACUACGGACGGCAUCAUCUGUAGUUGAAAGAUUCAUUGGUCACGGAUGGGCUCGCGCGACAUUAGGUAGACGGCGGGGUAACGGCCCACCGUGCCGACGAUGUCUAGGGGUUCUGAGAGGAAGGUCCCCCACACUGGAACUGAGACACGGUCCAGACUCCUACGGGAGGCAGCAGUGAGGAAUAUUGGUCAAUGGCCGGAAGGCUGAACCAGCCAUGCCGCGUGAAGGAAUAAGGUCCUAUGGAUUGUAAACUUCUUUUAUAUGGGAGCAAUAAGGGUCACGUGUGAUCCGAUGAGAGUACCAUAUGAAUAAGCAUCGGCUAACUCCGUGCC